rfam:Medicago truncatula strain A17 chromosome 2, whole genome shotgun sequence.
AAACAGCCCCCUAUGUAUUGGAUCUUUGGCAGUUUUGGCCCCAAUGCCAUUUUUGACUUAGUCUUCGCUGACGUGACACCCACAAUGGUCGACACGUGGCACCUCAUUUAAGGGAUGUGAGUUGUCAGCAAAGACUAAGUCAAAAGUGGUUUUGGGGGCCAAAACUACCAAAGAUUCAAUACAUAGGGGGCUGUUU